rnacentral:rRNA from 1 species
UGGGGAAUAUUGGACAAUGGGCGAAAGCCUGAUCCAGCGACGCCGCGUGGGUGAAGAAGGCCUGCGGGUUGUAAAGCCCUUUCGGUGGGGAUGAAAAGCCUCGACCUAACACGUCGGGGUCUUGACCUAACCCAAGAAAGAAGCACCGGCUAACUCUGUGCCAGCAGCCGCGGUAAUACAGAGGGUGCGAGCGUUAAUCGGAAUUACUGGGCGUAAAGCGCACGUAGGUGGCUUUGCAAGUCGAUUGUGAAAUCCCCGGGCUCAACCUGGGAACUGCAGUCGAGACUGCCUUGCUUGAGUAUGGGAGAGGGAAGUGGAAUUUCCGGUGUAGCGGUGAAAUGCGUAGAUAUCGGAAGGAACAUCAGUGGCGAAAGCGACUUCCUGGACCAAUACUGACACUCAAGUGCGAAAGCGUGGGGAGCAAACAGG